rnacentral:rRNA from 1 species
GACAGAGGGUGCAAACGUUGCUCGGAAUUACUGGGCGUAAAGCGCGUGUAGGCGGCAACGCAAGUCGGGCGUGAAAUCCCACGGCUCAACCGUGGAAGUGCACUCGAAACUGCGUAGCUAGAGUCCUGGAGAGGAAGGUGGAAUGCUUGGUGUAGAGGUGAAAUUCGUAGAUAUCAAGCGGAACACCGGUGGCGAAGGCGGCCUUCUGGACAGUGACUGACGCUGAGACGCGAAAGCGUGGGGAGCAAACAGG